UAACUGCAGUCGAACGGACUUCUCAUGAAGCUUGCGAUUGAGAAGUUAGUGGCGGACGGGUGAGUAACGCGUGGGCAACCUGCCCCUGAGCCCGGGAUAACAGUUCGAAAGGACUGCUAAGACCGGAUAUUCUUGCGGAGAGGCAUUUUUCUGCAAGGAAAGGAAACGCUCAAGGAUGGGCCCGCGUCCCAUUAGCUAGUUGGUGAGGUAACGGCCCACCAAGGCGACGAUGGGUAGCCGGCCUGAGAGGGUGAACGGCCACACUGGGACUGAGACACGGCCCAGACUCCUACGGGAGGCAGCAGUUGGGAAUCUUCGGCAAUGGGCGCAAGCCUGACCGAGCAACGCCGCGUGAGUGAUGAAGGUUUUCGGAUUGUAAAGCUCUGUCUUCCGGGACGAUAAUGACGGUACCGGAGGAGGAAGCCACGGCUAACUACGUGCCAGCAGCCGCGGUAAUACGUAGGUGGCGAGCGUUGUCCGGAAUUACUGGGCGUAAAGGGCGCGUAGGCGGCCUGUCAAGUCAGAUGUGAAAUCCCCGGGCUUAACCCGGGAACUGCAUCUGAAACUGACGGGCUUGAGGGCAGGAGAGGAAAGCGGAACUCCCAGUGUAGCGGUGAAAUGCGUAGAUAUUGGGAGGAACACCAGUGGCGAAGGCGGCUUUCUGGACUGUAACUGACGCUGAGGCGCGAAAGCCAGGGGAGCGAACGGGAUUAGAUACCCCGGUAGUCCUGGCUGUA
rnacentral:rRNA from 1 species